rnacentral:ncRNA from 1 species
UCUUAUCCAGAGAGGUGGAGGGACUGGCCCUUUGAAGCCUCGGCAGCAGACCACAUUGGUACUGUGCCAAUUCCAGCAAGCUUGAAAAGCUUGAAAGAUAAGA